UGGUGUAAAAACUCAUGCCUCUUAAAAAGGAGCAUCCCAUGAGGCCGAACAAGUAUCUGGUUCCCACCCAAAUUUUAAACUACCAUGAAAAAGGAAACCAACGUCCACUUUCCUAGUGUUUCACAAAGUCACACUCUAACGCUCAGCUGCAUGGACAACCAAUAACUUAGGUCUUUUAUAACUAACAAUGACCAGCACUAAAAGCAAAUUCCAAACAAAAUAAGGACUUGGCAAUGAAUUUCAACAUUUUCUUUGAUAGUAGUGGUGA
rnacentral:lncRNA from 1 species